rnacentral:rRNA from 1 species
UACGGGGGGAGCAAGCGUUGUUCGGAUUUACUGGGCGUAAAGCGCGCGCAGGCGGACCUGCAAGUCGGGGGUGAAAGCCCGAGGCUCAACCUCGGAACUGCCUUCGAUACUGCGGGUCUCGAGUCCGGGAGAGGUGAGUGGAAUUCCUAGUGUAGAGGUGAAAUUCGUAGAUAUUAGGAAGAACACCAGUGGCGAAGGCGGCUCACUGGCUCGGUACUGACGCUGAGGCGCGAAAGCGUGGGGAGCAAACAGG